GCUUCCUGCUCUAGUCUGCCUAUACCUACCGUCCUCGCGGUCGCACUCAACUGAUAAUAAUUUAACUAAUUAAUUAAUCAAUAUAAUAUUAGAUAUGCAAUAAUAUGCUGCGGUAGCUUAUGCAGUCGGCCGUCGUCCGUUUGCACAACAACCAAAGAUCAUACGCCGCAACGAGGCAACGGAGAAAAUAACAACUUGUAUAAUAUAAUAUUUUACAAACUAUUUAUGAUAAUAAAAUUACAUUAUGCGUUACACCUAAGUCGAAUAUACAUUGUAUAUUAUCAUAAUCGCGAGUAAAGCUCAUAGACUACAGCUCGGCGAUCGAUCAGCGGCCAUAGCCGUCAUAACCGGAAACGUUUUUAUUUCGUGCAAUCUGUACAUACACCCGAGAAGUCGAAUCACCGUCUUCGUUGGCGAGUUGUACUAGCCGACUCCGUUAGUCGCAACUAUAUACCAGCAGCUGCGGGCUGUACGCGCAUCGCGUCAGUAACCUAAAUAUACCACUGUACCAGGCUAGUAUAUCGGCCGUCAUGGAUAAACGCGAUUUGGCCGACGACGCAACGACGAACUCGUCGGACCGCAAACAACCGCUCAGGACGACCGUCAGCAUGCCGAUACUCGGGCAGAGGACGGCAACGAAUAACGACGAAAACCGGCGCGAGAGACGUCCGCUGGUGGGCAAAAUGGAUGAGGUCUCUGCACUGCCCGACGGCGGAGACGACGAAGAUCUGCCGAGGCCUGCUCUGACCAAGUCGACAAGCUGCUAUCAAGUGCAGCCGUCGUCCAACAGCAAACCGUCCCGGGCCCACGACCUAUGAGACUUUUAUCCGGCGACUCGUCGACGUGAUAUCAUAAUAAGAAUAUGAAUUAUAUAGACAUAUAUUAUUACGAUACGAUGUAUAAACAACGAAAAAAAAAUAUUAAUAUAUAUAACCUGUAAGCAAUAUAGGUUCAACAAACAAAA
rnacentral:lncRNA from 1 species